rnacentral:rRNA from 1 species
CACCGCGGUUAUACGAGAGGCCCGAGUUGAUAGACUACGGCGUAAAGCGUGGUUAAGAAACACAUUAAACUAAAGCCGAAUGCCCUCAGAGCUGUUAUACGCUCACGAUGGUCAGAAGCCCAAUCACGAAAGUAGCUUUACUUAACCUGAAGCCACGAAAGCUAUGACA